rnacentral:rRNA from 1 species
UGCGCAGGCGGUGAGAUAAGUCAGCUGUGAAAGCCCCGGGCUCAACCUGGGAACUGCGGCCGAAACUGUCUCGCUAGAGUACGUCAGAGGGGGGUGGAAUUCCACGUGUAGCAGUGAAAUGCGUAGAGAUGUGGAGGAACACCAAUGGCGAAGGCAGCCCCCUGGGAUGAUACUGACGCUCAUGCACGAAAGCGUGGGGAGCAAACAGGAUUAGAUACCCUGGUAGUCCACGCCCUAAACGAUGUCGACUAGCCGUUGGAGACCUCGGUCUUUGGUGGCGCAGCUAACGCGUGAAGUCGACCGCCUGGGGAGUACGGUCGCAAGAUUAAAA